UACAGAGGUCUCAAGCGUUGUUCGGAUUCAUUGGGCGUAAAGGGUGCGUAGGCGGCGCGGUAAGUCGGGUGUGAAAUCUCGGAGCUUAACUUCGAAACUGCAUUCGAUACUGCCGUGCUUGAGGACUGGAGAGGAGACUGGAAUUUACGGUGUAGCGGUGAAAUGCGUAGAUAUCGUAAGGAAGACCAGUGGCGAAGGCGGGUCUCUGGACAGUUCCUGACGCUGAGGCACGAAGGCCAGGGGAGCGAACGGG
rnacentral:rRNA from 1 species